rfam:Hyphopichia burtonii NRRL Y-1933 unplaced genomic scaffold HYPBTscaffold_3, whole genome shotgun sequence.
AUCUUUAUGCAGGGGCAUUACGUGUAUCAGUGAGGAUUCGUCCGAGAUCAUGUUUUUGCUGGUUGAAAACUAUAACCUGACAGCUCCUUGAUGAUAUGGUCUUUGUAUCAUGAUUGUUAAGGGAAUUUUUGGAGAGCUUUUUCU